UACGAAGGGGGCUAGCGUUGCUCGGAAUCACUGGGCGUAAAGCGCACGUAGGCGGAUCUUUAAGUCAGAGGUGAAAUCCCAAGGCUCAACCUUGGAACUGCCUUUGAUACUGGGGAUCUCGAGUCCGGAAGAGGUGAGUGGAACUGCGAGUGUAGAGGUGAAAUUCGUAGAUAUUCGCAAGAACACCAGUGGCGAAGGCGGCUGACUGGUCCGGUUCUGACGCUGAGGCGCGAAAGCGUGGGGAGCAAACAGG
rnacentral:rRNA from 1 species